rnacentral:rRNA from 1 species
UACAGAGGGGGCAAGCGUUGUUCGGAAUUACUGGGCGUAAAGGGCGCGUAGGCGGCCUUCUAAGUCGAACGCGAAAUCCCCGGGCUCAACCCGGGAACUGCGUCCGAUAUUGGAAGGCUUGAAUCCGGGAGAGGGAUGCGGAAUUCCAGGUGUAGCGGUGAAAUGCGUAGAUAUCUGGAGGAACACCGGUCGCGAAGGCAAUCCCCUGGACCUGUACUGACGCUCAUGCACGAAAGCGUGGGGAGCAAACAGG